rnacentral:rRNA from 1 species
CUUCGGGUCGAGUAAAGUGGCGCACGGGUGAGUAACGCGUAGAUAAUCUGCCCCGCUGUCUGGGAUAACCUUUCGAAAGGAAGGCUAAUACCGGAUAAUACGAUUUCUUUCAAGGGAGUCGUUGAAAGUUGCGGCGCAACGGGAUGAGUCUGCGUCCCAUUAGCUAGUUGGUGGGGUAAAGGCCUACCAAGGCGACGAUGGGUAGCGGGUUUGAGAGGACGAUCCGCCACACUGGAACUGAGACACGGUCCAGACUCCUACGGGAGGCAGCAGUAGGGAAUUUUGCGCAAUGGGCGAAAGCCUGACGCAGCAAUGCCGCGUGAGUGAAGAAGGCCCUCGGGUCGUAAAGCUCUUUAUCUUCGGGAAGAUGAUGACGGUACCGAAGGAAGAAGCACCGGCUAACUACGUGCCAGCAGCCGCGGUAAU